rnacentral:rRNA from 1 species
UACGUAGGGGGCAAGCGUUGUCCGGAUUUAUUGGGUUUAAAGGGUGCGUAGGCGGCCCUGUAAGUCAGUGGUGAAAUACGGCAGCUCAACUGUCGAGGUGCCAUUGAUACUGCGGGGCUUGAGUGUUGAUGAGGCAGGCGGAAUUGACGGUGUAGCGGUGAAAUGCUUAGAUAUCGUCAAGAACACCGAUAGCGAAGGCAGCUUGCCAAGCAAUAACUGACGCUGAGGCACGAAAGUGCGGGGAUCAAACAGG